CCCAGUGUGGCACUGUGGUUUGAAUGGUGGACUAUGGCUCUGGAGACCAGGGUUCGAUUCCCUGCUCAGCCA